UACGUAGGGGGCAAGCGUUAAUCGGAAUUACUGGGCGUAAAGCGUGCGCAGGCGGCUUUGCAAGACAGAUGUGAAAUCCCCGGGCUCAACCUGGGAAUUGCGAUGGAGACUGCAAGGCUAGAAUCUGGCAGAGGAGGGUAGAAUUCCACGUGUAGCAGUGAAAUGCGUAGAGAUGUGGAGGAACACCGAUGGCGAAGGCAGCCCGCUGGGUCAAGAUUGACGCUCAUGCACGAAAGCGUGGGGAGCAAACAGG
rnacentral:rRNA from 1 species